GGUUAUACGCUAAUGCAACAUUCAGAAAGGAAGCAGCGGUUGUUUUUCAGCGUGGACCAUUGUGGCUCUAAAUCGAACCAUCUUAGAGAGGAACUCUGGAGCUCUGACAGUGACCAUCAGGUUCUUGGUCACCUCCCUGAGGUGGUGAGCAAGUUCCCUCUCUAGGAAGAGUCCUGGUGGUUCUGAACUUCCUCCACUUAUGGAUGAUGGAGGCCACUGUGCUUAUUGGGACCUUCAAAGCAAAGAACUUUUUCUGUAACCUUCUCCAGAUUUGUGCCUCAAGACAAGUCUGUCUCGGCAGUCUACAGACAAUUCCUUUGACUUCAUGCUUGGUUUGUGCUCUGACAUGCACUGUCAACUGUGGGACCUUAUAAGGUGUGUGCCUUUCCAAAUCAUGUCCAAUCAACUGAAUUUACCACACGUGGACUCCAAUUAAGCUACAGAAACAUCUCAAGGAUGAUCGGUGGAAACAGAAUGCACCUGAGCUCAAUGUUGAGCUUCAUGGCAAAGGAUGUGAAUACUUAUGUACAUGUGAUUUCUCAGUUUUUUAUUUUUAAUAAAUUUGCAAAAAUGUCAAAA